AAUCCAGACUCCUACGGGAGGCAGCAGUGGGGGAUAUUGCACAAUGGGGGGAACCCUGAUGCAGCGACGCCGCGUGGGUGAAGGAGUAUUUCGGUAUGUAAAGCCCUAUCGGCAGGGAAGAAGGAGGACGGUACCUGACUAAGAAGCCCCGGCUAACUACGUGCCAGCAGCCGCGGUAAUACGUAGGGGGCAAGCGUUAUCCGGAUUUACUGGGUGUAAAGGGGGCGCAGACGGCAGCGCAAGCCAGGAGUGAAAGCCCGGGGCCCAACCCCGGGACUGCUCUUGGAACUGCGCGGCUGGAGUGCAGGAGGGGCAGGCGGAAUUCCUAGUGUAGCGGUGAAAUGCGUAGAUAUUAGGAGGAACACCAGUGGCGAAGACGGCCUGCUGGGCUUUUACUGACGCUGAGGCUCGAAAGUGUGGGGAGCAAACAGGAUUAGAUACCCGUGUA
rnacentral:rRNA from 1 species